GGAAACACAAGUAAUACUUAUCUUGCCCUUGCCAAUCAUCUUGCUAGGAUGCAAUGCAAAGGCGCUAGAUCAUAUGAUGCUAAAAGAUACUACUUGGAAACUCAAAUAAUACUUAUCUUGCCCUUGGCAAUGUCCCCUUGUGUGGUAUUUAUGGACUUAAGCCUCCCCUAACUCCAUAGUCCACUUCCUCCCUUUCUUGGACCAAUUCCCAAUAAGGAAUACUCCUUCAUUUUCCUUACAAUCUCCCACAAACAAUACCACUUGUAAACUUGAUUUUUUUUUUGAAUUUGUGACUUUGGUAUUUAUUAUGGGUUGGGCUUGCUUUUGGUCCUAUAAAUUCUCCCCCUUUGGAAUCAAACACUGAAAAGGAAGACAUUAGUAGCACAAGGAGGGUUAAAUUUUGUGAUCCUUUACAUGUAGAAUGGAAUUGAUCACGAAAACUUGACUCUCAUAAUACGUAGACUAAGAUCCUCCUAAGUAUAUGCAUACAUAUAGUGGAUGGCAGAGCAUAUGCAUAAUCAGCAAUCUAAGCACAAAGGGAGUUUAAUCUAUAUAAUGCAUGGAGAAAACAUAUAAAGAUAUCAAUUGAAAGACAACGACUUGAUACAGGUUUGAAGUGAUACCAAAUCAAAGUGGCUCAAUUUGAUUGAUACCAUGAAUUGAAGUGUGCUACUUAUCUCUAGGCACUCCAUUUUCCUUGCAAUGAGGCUACUACACACACAAUAAGCUUGAAAUAGAGUUAGUCUCAAAGAUGCCAACUUGUUGAGUAACCUCCCCUAAAAGUGUGCAUAGAAGUUUGAAAUAUUUGUAGGAAACAUGCACAUUAACUAUUAAAGUCAAAAUACCACUUGAAAGAUAAUAUCACUUGAAGGUGAACAUCACUUGCAGGUGAUAUUUGGGGUAAGGCAUCUACAAUUUGGACUUUGACGCAUAUAAGAUAAAUCAAUUGAAUACGGGCUAUGUGAUGUGCUCCUAACCAAUGUAAACCAUGUAGGUUUGCUCCAAGAGUAAGAGUGAAAUCGAUCAACCCUAUCAUAUGAUUUACCUAGUGUAUGCAUAAAAAAGAAUUUAAACGUGUACAUGCAAACCAAGACAUAAAAAGAACUAGAUGCUAAUCAAAAUUGCAAGAAUUUAACCAGGCUAACAUACACCUUGAGAUCUAUCCAAGCAUUUUUUUCCCACGCAAUAUUUUUUUCUCAAAUAAUUUUUGCAGCCCCUGAUCAGUUGCCUCUCGCCCUCACUGAUAAACUCCAAAACACUGAGGUAAUUACCUUGGUUAGUUGGUACGCCGUCUGCCAUAGAGACUUCCACAGCAAAAAAAAAAAAAAAACGAAGAGAACAUUGGAAACUGGGACAGCUGGCGGCCAAAAUUGGAAACGGCCAAACGGGUCACCGAAGAGCAGAGCAUGUUCUCUUUUCUUUUCAAUCGUACCACCAGUAUUUUUCUCUCAUAAUAAAUCAGCCAAUAGUAAUUUUAGUCAUGACUUUUCAUUUUUCUCUCAUAAUAAAUCAGCCAAUAGUAAUUUCAGUCAUGACUUUUCAGACCAACGAACAGCUUCAAUGGAAGCUAAUUUGGAUUCCUACAUCCUCGCACGGAUAAGAGACUGCACUUGGAUUCACGUGUCUUGAGUGAUCAACGUAUAUACUCAUACACAAAACAAUAUAAUUCUCACAUUUCAACAAGCCAAAUACUUUUAAAUUUAAUCAAAUAUAUAAAAAAAUACUAUCAUUUAUAAUACAAAUAACUAUAGGGCAAAUAAAUAUUAUUAGAUUCACUAUAAAUAUAUAUAUACUUUUGCAAUAUAUCAAUUUAGAGAUAUAAAUAUUAUUCAUUAUUUAUUUGAUCAAAGUUACUACCUUAACACACGUGGAUACUAUAGUUAUAUUUUUUCUAGACUGAGAGAGUAGUACCUCGGAAUCUCAUUUUUGGGACAUUCAGACAAGACAAGUGACGUGAUUGCUAGUAACACUGUGAUGUGAUGGUUUCCUCUCGCUCUCACUGGUAAACUCCAAAACGCUGAACCUUAAACGAGGUAAUUACUUGGGGCUUGUUUAGUUCACCACAAAAACCAAAAUCUUUUCAAGAUUCUCCGUCACAUCGAAUCACAGCUCAUGCAUGGAGUAUUAAAUAUAGACGAAAAUAAAAACUAAUUGCACAAUUUACCUGUAAAUCACGAGAUGAAUCUUUUAAGCCUAUUUACUUCAUGAUUGGAUAAUAUUUGUCAAAUAAAAACGAAAGUGCACUACGGCAGACA
rnacentral:lncRNA from 1 species